UCUAAAAUGGCAGAUAGAUGUGUAGGAUUUAAGCUCCUAUCAGGGAGAUUAUUCUCCUUUUAGAA
rnacentral:tRNA from 1 species